rnacentral:rRNA from 1 species
GGGCGUAGGAAAUUUGAGAGGAGCUGUCCUUAGUACGAGAGGACCGGGAUGGACAUACCUCUGGUGUACCAGUUGUCGUGCCAACGGCAUAGCUGGGUAGCUAUGUGUGGACGGGAUAAGUGCUGAAAGCAUCUAAGCAUGAAGCCCCCCUCAAGAUGAGAUUUCCCAACUUCGGUUAUAAGAUCCCUUAAAGAUGAUGAGGUUAAUAGGUUCGAGGUGGAAGCAUGGUGACAUGUGUAGCUGACGAAUACUAAUCGAUCGAAGACUUAAUCAAAA